rnacentral:rRNA from 1 species
CAACAGCUCAAAUUUGAAAUCUGGCGUAAGCCCGAGUUGUAAUUUGUAGAGGAUGCUUCUGGGUAGCGACCGAUCUAAGUUCCUUGGAACAGGACGUCAUAGAGGGUGAGAAUCCCGUAUGUGACCGGCCCGCACCCUUUACGUAGCUCCUUCGACGAGUCGAGUUGUUUGGGAAUGCAGCUCUAAAUGGGAGGUAAAUUUCUUCUAAAGCUAAAUACCGGCCAGAGACCGAUAGCGCACAAGUAGAGUGAUCGAAAGAUGAAAAGUACUUUGGAAAGAGAGUUAAAAAGCACGUGAAAUUGUUGAAAGGGAAGCGCCUGCAACCAGACUUCGUGGCAGUGUUCCGCCGGUCUUCUGACCGGUUUAUUCUCUGUCGCGAGGCCAUCAUCGUCUAGGCCCGCCGGAUAAGACCUUAGGAAUGUAGCUCACCUUCGGGGGAGUGUUAUAGCUUAUGGUGAUGCGGCGAGGCUUGGGCGAGGUCCGCGCUUCGGCAAGGAUGAUGGCGUAAUGGUUGUCGGCGGCCCGUCUUGAAACACGGACCAAGGAGUCUAACAUCUAUGCGAGUGUUCGGGUGUCAAACCCCUACGCGUAAUGAAAGUGAACGGAGGUGGGAACCGCAAGGUGCACCAUCGACCGAUCCUGAUGUCCUCGGAUGGAUUUGAGUAAGAGCAUAGCUGUUGGGACCCGAAAGAUGGUGAACUAUGCCUGAAUAGGGUGAAGCCAGAGGAAACUCUGGUGGAGGCUCGCAGCGGUUCUGACGUGCAAAUCGAUCGUCAAAUUUGGGUAUAGGGCGAAAGACUAA